GAUUUUUUUAGUAGUUGCGAGCAUUUCUCUGUAGCUAGUCCAACUCUACCGCUAAUAAGACAUGUUUUUUCUGCAGCAGCAGUCGAUAUUUUUUCAACAUCAAACAUCGGCUGCGGUGAAAUUUAAACUCUGGACACUCAUCUAGUAAUAUACAUGAGGUUAAAGUUUCGAAGUGACUAAGAAUAUAUUUUGGGAAACACUUGAUUUGGAAAUACACGUGAUAAAACUUCAACCCACGCGAGGCUUUAUCAUCUGUGCAUUUGGAUUACACAAUAGUACACACAAUACACUGUACAAAGAAUAUUACUGUUUCCAACGUCAAGGCAUAAUGUUCGCACAAAAGAGUAGUUCUACACAUAAAGAAAAUACACCAACUAUAUUAAAGGACAAAUGGAAAAAUAUUAAUUACGUAUUUGGUUUCGAUAAUUUAAUACUUUUUACAUAAAAAAUAUAAUUUUAUAAACUUUAUAAUUUGUUAAUUUGAAAUUUUUUUUUUAUAAAAUUUAGUAUGAUUAAGUCUCAAAAAUUGAAACUAUCUGAAAAUGUUAUGAAGUUUAAUAUGAAUUUAUCAAUAUUUACGGUUUUUACUUAUGUAAUUUUUAAAUUUUUAAUAUAGCUAGUAAAUUUAUAAUUACUGUUAAAAUUAUUUAUUCUAAGUUUGGUUUGAUUUUUAAACUUCUUACAAACACGUAUAUACAUUGUGGUAGUCUUAGUUUUUCUUAAGAAUCGUUUUUAAAAAAUAAUUUAUAUUUUAUAGUAAUUAUAAUUAAUUAUCUACUAAAGCUUUACGAAGGACUAACUUUUAAUUUAUAAAUGAUAUUUUGAGCACUACUUGUUUUUAAAAUUUAAAAAUGUCUAAGACAUUGAGUUUGGAUUAAUCAUAAUUAAUUCAAAUCGUAUCUAAAUCAAACAGUACAAUGAUUAACUAAACACUAAGUUAGACCAACAGAAAUAAAUGAUUAAUAACGUUUAAAGUUUCGAGUGAUUUUUAAAACAAUUUUUAUCAUGUACUCAAAAUUAUAAUAAGAUAAUAAUAAUAAUUCACUUGAGUUGAUUACACAUAUAAUGUACUCACAGCUAUAUUGUAUUGUAAUGUCAAAGUUUAAAUA